rnacentral:SRP_RNA from 11 species
GAACGUUGGGUCUGCCGAAUACGUGUACAGCCGGACCUUUGCAGAUUGCAGAAAUGCCGAAGGGUGCACCACGAUACGCGCCUGGCCCUGGAGAAAGCAGCCAAACGGCCCCUUUGUACUGCCGU